ACGGAAGGCAGCAGUGAGGAAUAUUGGUCAAUGGGCGGAAGCCUGAACCAGCCAUCUCGCGUGCAGGACUACGGCCCUACGGGUCUUAAACUGCUUUUAUGGGGGGAUAAAGUCGGGCAUUCGUGUCCGUUUGCUGGUACCCCAUGAAUAAGGAUCGGCUAACUCCGUGCCAGCAGCCGCGGUAAUACGGAGGAUCCGAGCGUUAUCCGGAUUUAUUGGGUUUAAAGGGUGCGCAGGCGGCCCGUUAAGUCAGCGGUGAAAUGUCGGGGCUCAACCCGGGCACUGCCGUUGAAACUGGGGGGCUUGAGUACGGAUGAGGUCGGCGGAAUGUGACGUGUAGCGGUGAAAUGCAUAGAUAUGUCACAGAACACCGAUUGCGAAGGCAGCCGGCCAAUCCGCAACUGACGCUCAUGCACGAAAGCGUGGGGAUCGAACAGGAUUAGAUACCCUGGUA
rnacentral:rRNA from 1 species